CUUGAGACAAAUGGAUAGGGCAGCUCUUCCACAGUUUGUCAGGAAUCAACCUGUGUGUUAGCUAAACCUUUCCAGCUGCAAGCAGAGAACUAAGGAAGGCCAGAGAGGAAGGGAGCAUUGUUCUGCACAGAAGAGUUGCACCUCACGGGCUGCAAACACUUCAGGGCUGGGUUACUGAAAAUGUUAUGAAGGAUGCAGAGAGAGAGAAAUCAAGGCCAAGCACAGCUACGGGUUUUGCAUAAGGUCACACAACAAAGCAGUGCAAGGGCAGAAGCAGAAGUGAGCACGUGUGAUGUGGCAGCGCUCUCUAACCAACAGACCAUCACUUCCUUCGCCAGCCCUGCAACAGGAAGGGGAAAAGCAGAAUCAAGCUGCGCAAUGACUGCAAGCUCACCAAUGACUUGAUGCCCAAGAGGAAGACAUGGAUUUUCAUACAGGUCAGCUUCCAGGCCAAGUUAGUAUCAGCACAAUCCCCUAAUAAACAAGGCUGGCAAGAACUAAUGUUGGAUAAUUUGCAUUUUAAAUGCACGCCUCUCCAUAAAGGUUUAGAGCUUUUGCUUCUAAAGAAACACUUGGCCAGAUUCUGCAGCAGCGCACAUCAGCACAGCACUUCUGAAGGCAAAGCAACAGCGUCUAUUUUUAUCAGCUAAGAAUCUGAUCCAGCUCUCUAAGAAAGAAGGGGGCACACAGGGGGGUGAGCCAUUCACCUCCUCUUUGUCUCUUGUAAUGCUGCUUCCCACACCAAACACUCGGCAUCUUGCAGCACUGUGGUCUUCAGAUUGAGGCUUAACGUAUAUUCUCUGGUAGUCACUGAACUGAUUGCCAGCAGAGAAGGAACUGUAAGUCAGCAGUGAUAACCGAGGCCCUGCUGAGCUGUCACCAGUGGGGAACCUUUGCCACUCUGAGAGGUUGAUAGUCUCAUAAAUAACACGUCUUCUAAGAGAUGCUGCAGUUUGACUUGCAUUUCAUUAAAUGUUAAGAAAAUGAGCUGAUGCCUACGUUGAAAUAUGGAGACUUGUGGUUUUAUUACCUGCAUUACCCAUCUCGCCCUUCUUUGAGCAACAUGUUUUUCCUCCAGUCACAGAAAGUCAGGUAUUUUCAAGUUGCGGGCAAGAAGCACGAAGAGGCGUGUGAAAACCAUAGGGCUGAGGGUGGCCUUUGCAGGCUGUGUGAACCAUUUUUCUGGGUGUGCUGCUGAUGCGUUGUGAUUAAAUGCCAUUUUAUCUUGGUGAGGAGCA